UGGAAGCUUUGUCCAAAGUGUACACAGAUAAUCAAUGGAAGUGUGGAUGUUGAUGCUGAGGACCGCCAGAGAAGAAAACCUGAAUCAGAUGGAAGAACUGCUAAAGCUUUGAGGUCAUUACAGUUUACAAAUCCAGGAAAGCAAACUGAAUUUGCUCCAGAAACUGGUAAAA